rnacentral:rRNA from 1 species
GACGAACGCUGGCGGCGUGCUUAACACAUGCAAGUCGAACGGUAAGGCCCUUCGGGGCACGCGAGUGGCGAACGGGUGAGUAACACGUGGGUGAUCUGCCCUGCACUUCGGGAUAAGCCUGGGAAACUGGUUCUAAUACCGGAUAGGACCACUGCCUGCAUGGGUGGUGGUGGAAAGCUUUUGCGGUGUGGGAUGGGCCCGCGGCCUAUCAGCUUGUUGGUGGGGUGAUGGCCUACCAAGGCGACGACGGGUAGCCGGCCUGAGAGGGUGACCGGCCACACUGGGACUGAGAUACGGCCCAGACUCCUACGGGAGGCAGCAGUGGGGAAUAUUGCACAAUGGGCGCAAGCCUGAUGCAGCGACGCCGCGUGAGGGAUGACGGCCUUCGGGUUGUAAACCUCUUUCAGCACCGACGAAGCGCAAGUGACGGUAGGUGCAGAAGAAGGACCGGCCAACUACGUGCCAGCCGCCGCAGUAA